rnacentral:lncRNA from 10 species
UAGUUGGAAUUUGUUAUACAUUCCACUAAAAUUUUCUUCUAAUAAAAAUUGGAUCUGUCUUUAACAAACAUUCUGCAGCAUUUAUGUCCAUUAAAUCUUCAUGUGUGGUUUAAGGGUUAUUCCUGAAGUCUCUAGAUCACAUGCUCCCAAAGUUUUUCCUGUGCUUCUUAUUUUGAGGCUCAUAUUACCCUUGUAAAUACUGCUUUCAUACAUGAUUUAUAGUUAUUAUGCAUCUUAAUAACUUAUCAAUUUUAAAAUGUUGACAUCAUCAGACUGUAAGCUCUGCAAGCAGAAAGCCUACAGUUCCCACAACCAGUUCCAUGCUGCGUAUCAUCAUAGGUACCUGGUAAGUAAGUGUAUUGCUUAAUAUCCAAGUGAAAAACAUUGUUAUAUUUGAUCAUGCAAAUAAAUACAGGUCACAGCACUGUUUGUAAUGGUUGCAUAGUAAUCCUUUUUAGGGAUAUUCUAUUUUUCACAGGACAUUUAAGUGGGUUCUUUUAACUUCACUAUUGGCCCAUUUGUCUCAUUUCUUUCCUGGAAUUGGAAUUUGGAGGAAAAAGUAUGUACAUUCAAUUAGCAGCAAAAACUAUUCAGAGUGUAAUUCAUAUGUACUAGAAAUUCUGCUAAGUGCUUUACUCAUAUUAUUUUAUUAAUCCCUUCCAGAGCCCUACGGUAAUAGGUACUCUCGAUAUCUCCAGUUUACAGAUGAGGAAACAACAUUCAUCUUAUCACAACUGGCUAAUCAGUGGUACAGUCUGACUUCACAGCUUGUGCUAAUAAUCAUUCUACAUUUGAUACCUAUUAUCAAACUAACCUCCAGAAAGACUGUCCCAGUUUAACAGUUUGAUCA